UACGGGGGGAGCAAGCGUUGUUCGGAUUUACUGGGCGUAAAGGGCGCGUAGGCGGCCAGCGCAAGUCAGUUGUGAAAUCUCCGGGCUUAACUCGGAAAGGUCAACUGAUACUGCGCGGCUAGAGCGCAGAAGGGGCAACUGGAAUUCUCGGUGUAGCGGUGAAAUGCGUAGAUAAUCGAGAGGAACACCUGCGGCGAAGGCGGGUUGCUGGGCUGACACUGACGCUGAUGCGCGAAAGCCAGGGGAGCGAACGGG
rnacentral:rRNA from 1 species